UUUUCCUUAGAAUGAUCCACCCUUGCUCUCAAAACUUGGCUACUUUUCAUGUCAGCUUGAAGCUGCGAAAGCGAAGAAACUGAAAAAUAUGCAGUUACAUUUAAAUCCAAAUAUUCGUUUCCGGCAAAUCCUACUAUAGUGCCAACAAUUUCCAUACAAACUUCAAAUGUUCAGUAAUUUCCUCCCUCUUGUUCAUUUUCAAGUGCAAAUCACCAAAUAUCAACAACGAAACAAUAUCAACCUCAACAUUUAGCUUCUAAGGGAAAAUGGUCUGGAUUGUAUGUUAAGAGCACUCUCCGAGAAUUGAUGACAUAGUGGUAGGUUAUGAAGCUGAGGCAUAAGAAGAUCAUGAAGCCACCGAUCCAAAAGUUCAAAUCAAUUGGAUACUUGACUUGGCAAGACAACUCUAGCCAAAAAUAUAUAUAAUUACAAAUACAAACUUUCCACUUUUAACAUUUGAGCAUGCUGUUGCAUUUCACAAGAGUAUGAGAGAAAAGAAAUUUGUCAAAUGUUAAGCUAUUUCCUUCAAUGAAAUUUCCAAUUGACGAAUUUCUCUUCCUAUGUACUUGGGAAACUUAUACCGUGCUCAAACAACAACGUGAAUAGUCAUGUAUUUGCAACAUAUACAUGUUCUUGGUUAGAGUUGUCUUACCAAGUCCAAGUGGUCACCGAUUGAUUUGAACAUUCAGAUAAAUGGCUUCAUAAGCUUUUUCUACCUCACCUUCCAAACCACUAUUUCAUCAAUUUUCUAAGACUGGUUGUUGGGAGAUAGGACAAGUAGCUUCUUGACCACGCUUUGGUCAUACAAAUAACUGAAACAUGUCCCACUAUCUGCACGAUCUGGUAUAAAACAACAAGCUCUUUAGUUUGUCGUAGCAACUUUGCGGACCAGAGUUUUUAGUCAAAGUACAGCACCAAUUCCUUCAAACGAGCAAAUGAUGUCUACUUGGUCUUGCAAGUCAAGUCAAGAGUUCCUUUAGCAUCUUCUUCCUCUAUCUAGUUUUGUUGUGUAUGCAAGUAAUAGAUAAGGAAAGUCCUGCAUACAGAGAUCAUUGACAGUUUUGUCAAAUACCAAUUUUCAGAAAGCUUUUCGAAUUUAUACAAAUAUAAAGAUUUAACAUACACACAAACGGCCAAACAAAAUUGAAUAGUUGAACGUAUCUAGUACAAAAUAACGAUUGCCAAGUUUAGUAGACUAUUUCCUACAAAAUCCAAGUACACAAUACCAGUUUAUAGCAUCAAACAUAUAAUCAGUAACCAGAAAUAGUGGCACAAGAGCUUUUAACAACUUUAAUCUCAAAAUGUUGUUUGAUCUUUUAUCUUAACAAUGCUUGCUUGAUAUAUAAAGCAAACACUGUUCUUUAAGAAAAUAGAAAGAUUCAGAACUAAGACAUAGGCCAGCAUCAGUUGUUAACGCUGCGGAAAAAAAGAAGCUUAUUAUCAUAACUCAUGCCCCUCAAAAAUCAAAUUUUAGCAGAUUUAAUUGAUGUCUUAUAAAUAUCUCAUUUCCAAAGAGAUCAUGCAACAUAGAGCUACUCAGAGGUCUAAAAUGAUAUGGUACCAAACAUGAAAUGAUUAUGCUAUAGUAAGCUAUAGAGGGACGAAGCUAGAAGCCCGAAGAUGGAUUCAGCCAAGCCUAGUAGUUUUUGUUCAAACAAUGUUAAAAAGAUCAUUUAAAUAUUAAAUUUAGAACCUAAAUACUAGCAUUUGUUCUUGAGCCUGAGAGUCCAUCUGAAACAGUCUACCCACCUUCAUAAGGUAUAUAUAAGAUCUAAGUACACGUUACCCUUCCCAAUCCCCAUUUGUGAGAUUUUUUAUUGUUGUUGUAAUUAUUAGCAUUUGAGAUCGUUCUAAAAUCUAUCCUAAAUAAAUAAAAACCCUACCUUAACAAAUAGUAACAGAGAAAUCAUACUCUCUCGUCUCAAUUUACGUUGUACUCUUUCACUUAAUCUAUCAAACAUUCCUGUAGAAACAAUUUUACUUUAAACUUCUAACAGUCACAUAUAUGGUUCAUUGUAGAACACAAACUUCAAAAGUCCUUUUUUUUUUAAAUCAGUGUCAAAUCAAACAGCAUCACACAAAUUAGGACGGUGGGAAGUACAAAUUUAAGACAUUACUCAUUAACAAGUAAAACAAAUACAAAAUUGAAGCUUUAUAAAUUAAUAAAUGAAAAGAACUACCGUUUGCUAAGCAGCUUGAGCUAAAUUCAGAUCUGAUCCAAAAUACGUUCUUCGCAAUGUCGCCGCCGCCGGCGAGAACGCCGUUUGAUGGCGGCUGAAGGUUAACUGAGCACCUUACUCCAUA
rnacentral:lncRNA from 1 species